UGCAGUCGAGCGGUAAGGCCCUUCGGGGUACACGAGCGGCGAACGGGUGAGUAACACGUGAGCAACCUGCCCCCGACUCCGGGAUAAGCGGUGGAAACGCCGUCUAAUACCGGAUACGACACACCGCCUCAUGGCGGUGUGUGGAAAGUUUUUCGGUCGGGGAUGGGCUCGCGGCCUAUCAGCUUGUUGGUGGGGUAACGGCCUACCAAGGCGAUUACGGGUAGCCGGCCUGAGAGGGCGACCGGCCACACUGGGACUGAGACACGGCCCAGACUCCUGCGGGAGGCAGCAGUGGGGAAUAUUGCGCAAUGGGCGAAAGCCUGACGCAGCGACGCCGCGUGGGGGAUGACGGCCUUCGGGUUGUAAACCUCUUUUACCACCAACGCAGGCUCCCAGUUCUCUGGGGGUUGACGGUAGGUGGGGAAUAAGGACCGGCUAACUACGUGCCAGCAGCCGCGGUAAUACGUAGGGUCCGAGCGUUGUCCGGAAUUAUUGGGCGUAAAGAGCUCGUAGGCGGCGUGUCGCGUCUGCUGUGAAAGACCGGGGCUUAACUCCGGUUCUGCAGUGGAUACGGGCAUGCUAGAGGUAGGUAGGGGAGACUGGAAUUCCUGGUGUAGCGGUGAAAUGCGCAGAUAUCAGGAGGAACACCGGUGGCGAAGGCGGGUCUCUGGGCCUUACCUGACGCUGAGGAGCGAAAGCAUGGGGAGCGAACAGGAUUAGAUACCCUGGUAGUCCAUGCCGUAAACGUUGGGCGCUAGGUGUGGGGACUUUCCACGGUUUCCGCGCCGCAGCUAACG
rnacentral:rRNA from 1 species